rnacentral:rRNA from 1 species
GAGUUUGAUCGUGGCUCAGAUUGAACGCUGGCGGCAUGCCUUACACAUGCAAGUCGAACGGCAGCACGGGAGCUUGCUCCUGGUGGCGAGUGGCGAACGGGUGAGUAAUGCAUCGGAACGUAUCCUGGAGUGGGGGAUAACGUAGCGAAAGUUACGCUAAUACCGCAUAUUCUGUGAGCAGGAAAGCGGGGGACCUUCGGGCCUCGCGCUCUUGGAGCGGCCGAUGUCGGAUUAGUUAGUUGGUGAGGUAAAGGCUCACCAAGGCGACGAUCCGUAGCAGGUCUGAGAGGAUGAUCUGCCACACUGGAACUGAGACACGGUCCAGACUCCUACGGGAGGCAGCAGUGGGGAAUUUUGGACAAUGGGGGCAACCCUGAUCCAGCCAUGCCGCGUGAGUGAAGAA